rnacentral:rRNA from 1 species
ACUCCUACGGGAGGCAGCAGUGAGGAAUAUUGGACAAUGGGGGCAACCCUGAUCCAGCCAUGCCGCGUGAGUGAUGACGGCCUUAGGGUUGUAAAGCUCUUUCGCUAGGGAAGAUAAUGACGGUACCUAGUAAAGAAGCCCCGGCUAACUUCGUGCCAGCAGCCGCGGUAAUACGAAGGGGGCUAGCGUUGUUCGGAAUCACUGGGCGUAAAGCGCGCGUAGGCGGACUUUUAAGUCAGGGGUGAAAUCCCGGGGCUCAACCUCGGAACUGCCUUUGAUACUGGAAGUCUUGAGUUCGAGAGAGGUGAGUGGAAUACCGAGUGUAGAGGUGAAAUUCGUAGAUAUUCGGUGGAACACCAGGUGGCGAAGGCGGCUCACUGGCUCGAUACUGACGCUGAGGUGCGAAAGCGUGGGAGCAAACAGGAUUAGAUACCCUGGUAGGAUAGCG